rnacentral:rRNA from 1 species
GACGAACGCUGGCGGCGUGCUUAACACAUGCAAGUCGAGCGGAAAGGCCCUUUCGGGGGUACUCGAGCGGCGAACGGGUGAGUAACACGUGAGUAAUCUGCCCCUGGCUUUGGGAUAGCCACCGGAAACGGUGAUUAAUACCGGAUACGACCACUUCUCGCAUGGGUUGGUGGUGGAAAGUUUUUCGGCCAGGGAUGUGCUCGCGGCCUAUCAGCUUGAUGGUGAGGUAAUGGCUCACCAUGGCUUCGACGGGUAGCCGGCCUGAGAGGGUGACCGGGCACACUGGGACUGAGAAGCGGACUAGACUCCUACGGGAGGCAGCAGUGGGGAAUAUUGGACAAUGGGCGGAAGCCUGAUCCAGCAACGCCGCGUGAGGGAUGACGGCCUUCGGGUUGUAAACCUCUUUCAGCAGGGACGAAGCGCAAGUGACGGUACCUGCAGAAGAAGCACCGGCCAACUACGUGCCAGCCGCCGCCGUAA